AGUGAACGCUGGCGGUAGGCCUAACACAUGCAAGUCGAACGGCAGCACAGUAAGAGCUUGCUCUUACGGGUGGCGAGUGGCGGACGGGUGAGGACUACAUCGGAAUCUACUUUUUCGUGGGGGAUAACGUAGGGAAACUUACGCUAAUACCGCAUACGACCUACGGGUGAAAGCAGGGGAUCUUCGUACCUUGCGCGAUUGAAUGAGCCGAUGUCGGAUUAGCUAGUUGGCGGGGUAAAGGCCCACCAAGGCGACGAUCCGUAGCUGGUCUGAGAGGUUGAUCAGCCACACUGGAACUGAGACACGGUCCAGACUGCUACGGGAGGCAGCAGUGGGGAAUAUUGGACAAUGGGCGCAAGACUGAUCCAGCCAUACCGCGUGGGUGAAGAAGGCCUUCGGGUUGUAAAGCCCUUUUGUUGGGAAAGAAAAGCAGCAGGUUAAUACCCCGCUGUUCUGACGGUACCCAAAGAAUAAGCACCGGCUAACUUCGUG
rnacentral:rRNA from 1 species